AUUGAACGCUGGCGGCGUGCUUAACACAUGCAAGUCGAUCGGUAACAGGUGUAGCAAUACAUGCUGACGAGAGGCGGACGGGUGAGUAAUGCUUGGGAAUCUGCCUAUUAGUGGGGGACAACCCGGGGAAACGUCGGGCUAAUACCGCAUACGCUCUACGGAGGAAAGCCGGGGACCGCAAGGCCUGGCGCUAAUAGAUGAGCCCAAGUCGGAUUAGCUAGUUGGUAGGGAACGGCCUACCAAGGCGACAAUCCGUAGCUGGUCUGAGAGGACGACCAGCCACACCGGAACUGAGACACGGUCCGGACUCCUACGGGAGGCAGCAGUGGGGAAUAUUGGACAAUGGGGCGAACCCUGAUCCAGCGACGCCGCGUGGGUGAAGAAGGCCUGCGGGUUGUAAAGCCCUUUCGGUGGGGAAGAAAAGUCUCGACCUAAUACGUCGGGACCUUGACGUAACCCACUAAGAAGCACCGGCUAACUCUGUGCCAGCAGCCGCCGUAAG
rnacentral:rRNA from 1 species